rnacentral:tRNA from 1 species
CAAUAUGUAGCUUAAUUAAAGCAUUCCGCUUACACCGAAAACAUACCUGUUAAACCCAGGUCAUUUUGA